rfam:Roseburia sp. 831b contig000001, whole genome shotgun sequence.
UUUGGGAGAACAUUAGAAAAUCUUAGUAUGCCUCCCUAUGCCUAGUGAUGUUCUGCCAUGGAUGGCAGAACAAGGCUUCACGAGCCACGGAUGGCUCGUUGAAUGCCGCUCACGUCACUUCAAAAUAAUCUCCAACAGGCAUACUUAGACUUUUCUUAUGUUUACCCAUC